rnacentral:sRNA from 1 species
GUCGAUGGGAGCGCCUGGAGGCGCGGCGGCCUCCUGCUUGUCGUCGGCAGCAGCGUUAU